UUUGGUGUUUGGAGCGACGGUGGUACACCCGGUCCCAUCCCGAACCCGGUCGUUAAGCCCGUCAGCGCCGAGGGUACUGGGGGGGCGACCCCCUGGGAGAGCAGGUCAAUGCCAAAA
rnacentral:rRNA from 1 species